rnacentral:lncRNA from 1 species
GCACCACCCCAAUAUGAUCCGGUGCCCUAGCCACAGUACCAUCCGGCACCGCCACAGUAUGGCCUGGUGCCCCAACCGCAUCACCCGACACCAUCACAGUACAAUCCAGUGCCUCUACCGUAUCAUCUAGUACCACCAUAGGGCCAUCAAGUUCAUCUUCAGCAUAGUACAACCCCUCUUCGACGAGACCUAGUUCCUCCCAUGAUGGACCCAAGCUACAU